UGUCCCUAUAUCCCAUAUAGGGCCGCCAUUUUCCUCGCUCCCCCCUGUCAAUCACGACCUUCGCCCUUCUGAUUGGCUCUCCGCCACGCCGCUCUUCCCCAUCACCAUUCCCAUUGGUUGCGCGGGUAGGCGGGACCACCGUAUUGAGGCUCCCCCAUUGGACGCAGCCUUUCCCGCUCGCGGGGCUGUGGGCGGGAUUAUCGGGCCGCUCCGCGCGCUGAUUGGUUGAGGGGCUGAGAGCGGGAAGACGGGGAGAAAAUGGCGGCCCUAAGAGGAGGGGGGGACAAAAUGGCGGCCGCUGAGGGGAGGGGGCGGAAGCUGUUGUCGCCUUCCCCACAAGUUCUAUGGGGUCUCGUCCCCCCAUCGCACUUCAUGGCCCCCAAAGCCAGGUAAGGGUCCCACAAUGAGCCCUAUUGGCCCCCCAUUAAGGCCAUUAAAACCAUUAAAGCCAUUAAGGCCAUUAAGGCCGGUAUCUGUGACCCCCCCCCCCCAAUUAAAACAGGUUGAUUGACGUGGAGAAGGGGCGGAGCCAAGAGAUGGGGGCGGAGCUUGGUAUGCAAAUGAGGCGGAACGAAGACAUGGGGGCGGAGCUUGGUAUGCAAAUGAGGCGGGACGAAGACAUGGGGGCGGAGCUUGGCAUGCAAAUGAGGCGGAACGAAGACACGGGGGCGGAGCCUGAUAUGCAAAUGAGACCGAGCCACAGCCUUGGGGCGGAGCUUGGUAUGCAAAUGAGGCGGAGCCAAGCAUUGGGGGAGGAGCCUGAUAUGCAAAUGAGGCAGAGACACAGCAUUGGGGCAGAGCCUGAUAUGCAAAUGAUGCGGAGACACAGACUGGACGAGGGGCUUGGUAUGCAAAUGAGGCGGAGACACAGCGUGGGGGCGGAGCUUGGUAUGCAAAUGAGGCCGAGCCAAGUGAUGGAGGCUGAGCUUGAAGCUGAUAGGGGGCGGAGCUUAAGGCUGGAGGCGGAGCUUGAUAUGCAAAUGAGGCGAAACAAAGACAUGGAGGCGGAGCUUGAUAUGCAAAUGAGGCGGGUCAAAGAGCUGGAGGUGGAGCUUGGUAUGCAAAUGAGACGGAACAAAGACAUGAAGGCGGAGCUUGAUAUGCAAAUGAAGCAGAACAAAGAGCUGGGGGCGGAGCUUCAAGCUGAAAAGAGGCGGAGCUUAAGGCUGGAGGCGGAGCUCGGUAUGCAAAUGAGGCGGAACAAAGAGCUGGAGGCGGAGCUUAAGGCUGAAAAGGGGCGGAGCCAAGAGAAGGGGGCGGAGCCUGAUGGAGAGACCCCAUUGCUCCGUGCUCAGCUCAGCGCCCUCAGCCACAUCCUGACCCUACAAGAGAAGGAGCUGAACAGGGAGGUGAGAAAUAGGGGACCCCAUAGGGGGGCUAUGGGGGGUAAUGGGGGCCUAUGGGGUGUAAUGGGGGUCCUGUGGGGUCCUAUGGGGUUCUAUGGGGUCCUAUGGGGUGUAAUGGGGUCCUAUGGGGUUCUAUGGGGUGUAAUGGGGGUCCUAUGGGGUCCUAUGGGGUUCUAUGGGGUCCUAUGAGGUGUAAUAGGGGUCCUAUGGGUUCCUAUGGGGUGUAAUGGGGUCCUAUGGGAUGUAAUGGUGGUCCUAUGGGGUCCUAUGGGGGGUAAUGGGGGUCCUAUGGGCUGUAAUGGGGGGCUAGGGGGUGUAAUGGGGGUCCUGUGGGGUCCUAUGGGGUUCUAUGGGGUCCUAUGGGGUGUAAUGGGGGUCCUAUGGGGUGUGAUGGUGUGUAAUGGGGUCCUAUGGGGUGUAAUGGGGGUCCUAUGGGGUGUAAUGGGGAUCCUAUGGGGUGUAAUGGGGUGUAAUAGGGUCCUAUGGGGUGUAAUGGGGGUCCUAUGGGGUGUAAUGGGGGUCCUAUGAAGUGUAAUAGGGGUCCUAUGGGUUCCUAUGGGGUGUAAUGGGGUGUAAUGGGGUCCUAUGGGGUGUAAUGGGGGUCCUAUGGGGUGUAAUGGGGUGUAAUGGGGUCCUAUGGGGUGUAAUGGGGAUCCUAUGGGGUACAAUGGGGUCCUAUGGGGUGUAAUGGGGUCCUAUGGGGUAUAAUGGGGUCCUAUGGGGUGUAAUGGGGUCCUAUGGGGUAUAAUGGGGUCCUAUGGGGUGUAAUGGGGGUCCUAUGGGUUAUAAUGGGGGUCCUAUGGGGUGUGAUGGGGGUCCUAUGGGGUAUAAUGGGGUUCUAUGGGGUGUAAUGGGGUCCUAUGGGUUACAAUGGGGUCCUAUGGGGUGUGAUGGGGGUCCUAUGGGGUGUAAUGGGGGUCCUAUGGGGUAUAAUGGGGUCCUAUGGGGUGUAAUGGGGUCCUAUGGGGUAUAAUGGGGGUCCUAUGGGGCGUGAUGGGGGUCCUAUGGGGUGUAAUGGGGUCCUAUGGGGUAUAAUGGGGUCCUAUAGGGUUUAAUAGGGGUCCUAUGGGUUAUAAUGGGGGUCCUAUGGGGUUCUAUGGGGUGUAAUGGGGUCCUAUGGGGUGUAAUGGGGGUCCUAUGGGUUAUAAUGGGGGUCCUAUGGGGUGUAAUGGGGUCCUAUGGGGUGCAA
ensembl:lncRNA myosin-9-like